CUCCCAUAGCACACUGUUGGCUGGGUACUUUAGCAAGGUUGUCGUAUGUCUAUUGUUGCGGAAGACAGUUUCUUUUAUGCACUAUAUUAAGGCUCAUCAGCAAAUUCUUCAGCAGCUGGUUGACUUGAUUGGCAUUACAUCUCUCAUGGAGGUAUUAAUACGUCUGAUUGGUGCUGAUGAACAUAUGUAUAACAACUAUACGGAUGCAGUGCAGUGGAUGGAAGAAACAAAUGUGCUGGAGAUGAUUGUGGACAAGUUCAGCUCUUCUGAUUCCCCAGAGGUGCAUGCCAAUGCAGCUGAAACACUUUGUGCUAUAACGCGAUUUGCUCCCCCUGGUCUUGCUGCUAAAAUCUCCAGCCCAAAUUUCAUUGGCAGAUUGUUUCGUCAUGCUUUGGAAGAAUCACGCCCAAAGUCUGUGCUUGUUAACUCAUUGUCUAUAUGCAUAUCCUUGUUAGACCCUAAAAGGCUAACCUUGGGCACAUAUCAUACAUAUAACCGCCAACUUAAUCAUGAGUCUGCAGUAACUGUGAGUCCUGAGACGGUAGAAGGGAUGCUGGAGAGCUUAGGU
rnacentral:misc_RNA from 1 species